AGCUAAUCCCCCAAAGCUUGUGUCUUGAAAAUACAGAUUAGAAAAUAAGAAUUCUAUUAGCUU
rnacentral:tRNA from 1 species